rnacentral:rRNA from 1 species
AACGAACGCUGGCGGCAGGCCUAACACAUGCAAGUCGAACGCCCUAGCAAUAGGGAGUGGCAGACGGGUGAGUAACACGUGGGAACCUUCCCUAUAGUACGGAAUAGCCCAGGGAAACUUGGAGUAAUACCGUAUACGCCCGAGAGGGGAAAGAUUUAUCGCUAUAAGAUGGGCCCGCGUCGGAUUAGCUAGUUGGUGAGGUAACGGCUCACCAAGGCAACGAUCCGUAGCUGGUUUGAGAGAAUGACCAGCCACACUGGGACUGAGACACGGCCCAGACUCCUACGGGAGGCAGCAGUGGGGAAUCUUGGACAAUGGGCGCAAGCCUGAUCCAGCCAUGCCGCGUGAGUGAUGAAGGCCCUGGGGUUGUAAAGCUCUUUUGUCGGGGACGAUAAUGACGGUACCCGAAGAAUAAGCUCCGGCUAACUUCGUGCCAGCCGCCGCGGUAA